CCGACGGUGAGGGAUGAAAGCUGGGGGAGCAAACCGGAUUAGAUACCCGGGUAGUCCCAGCUGUAAACGAUGCGCGUUAGGUGUGUCAGUGACCACGUGUCACUGAUGUGCCGAAGGGAAACCGUGAAACGCGCCGCCUGGGGAGUACGGUCGCAAGGCUGAAACUUAAAGGAAUUGGCGGGGAGCACCACAACGGGUGGAGCCUGCGGUUUAAUCGGACUCAACGCCGGAAAUCUCACCGGAUAAG
rnacentral:rRNA from 1 species